UCCAGACUCCUACGGGAGGCAGCAGUGGGGGAUAUUGCACAAUGGGGGAAACCCUGAUGCAGCAACGCCGCGUGUGGGAAGAAGGUUUUCGGAUUGUAAACCACUGUUCUUGGUGAAGAUAAUGACGGUAACCAAGGAGAAAGCUCCGGCUAACUACGUGCCAGCAGCCGCGGUAAUACGUAGGGAGCAAGCGUUGUCCGGAAUUACUGGGUGUAAAGGGAGCGCAGGCGGGAAGCCAAGUCAGCUGUGAAAACUACGGGCUUAACCUGUAGACUGCAGUUGAAACUGGUUUUCUUGAGUGAAGUAGAGGUUGGCGGAAUUCCGAGUGUAGCGGUGAAAUGCGUAGAUAUUCGGAGGAACACCGGUGGCGAAGGCGGCCAACUGGGCUUUAACUGACGCUGAGGCUCGAAAGUGUGGGGAGCAAACAGGAUUAGAUACCCUUGUACA
rnacentral:rRNA from 1 species